rnacentral:rRNA from 1 species
GACGAACGCUGGCGGCGUGCUUAACACAUGCAAGUCGAACGGAAAGGCCCUGCUUUUGUGGGGUGCUCGAAUGGCGAACGGGUGAGUAACACGUGAGUAACCUGCCCUUGACUUUGGGAUAACUUCAGGAAACUGGGGCUAAUACCGGAUAGGAGCUCCUGCUGCAUGGUGGGGGUUGGAAAGUUUCGGCGGUUGGGGAUGGACUCGCGGCUUAUCAGCUUGUUGGUGGGGUAGUGGCUUACCAAGGCUUUGACGGGUAGCCGGCCUGAGAGGGUGACCGGCCACAUUGGGGCUGAGAUACGGCCCAGACUCCUACGGGAGGCAGCAGUGGGGAAUAUUGCACAAUGGGCGGAAGCCUGAUGCAGCAACGCCGCGUGCGGGAUGACGGCCUUCGGGUUGUAAACCGCUUUCGCCUGUGACGAAGCGUGAGUGACGGUAAUGGGUAAAGAAGCACCGGCUAACUACGUG